rnacentral:rRNA from 1 species
UACGGAAGGCAGCAGGGGGGAAUAUUGCACAAUGGGCGCAAGCCUGAUGCAGCCAUGCCGCGUGUAUGAAGAAGGCCUUCGGGUUGUAAAGUACUUUCAGUCGUGAGGAAGGUGUUAAGGUUAAUAACCUUAGCAAUUGACGUUAGCGACAGAAGAAGCACCGGCUAACUCCGUGCCAGCAGCCGCGGUAAUACGGGGGUGCGAGCGUUAAUCGGAAUUACUGGGCGUAAAGGGCACGCAGGCGGUUAAUUAAGUUGGAUGUGAAAUCCCCGGGCUUAACCUGGGAAUGGCAUUCAAGACUGGUUAGCUAGAGUCUUGUAGAGGGGGUAGAAUUCCAUGUGUAGCGGUGAAAUGCGUAGAGAUGUGGAGGAAUACCGGUGGCGAAGGCGGCCCCUGGACAAAGACUGACGCUCAUGUGCGAAAGCGUGGGGAGCAAACGAGGGAUUAGAUACC